AGUUUCCUUAGUCAUACUCCAACCACAUUGAGACAUACUCUCCUUGUCCUUUAAUUGUUUAUAAUUUAAUUUUCUUCUGCUUGAAAUUUUGUCCAUUAUAAGCUAUUUUCAUAUUUGUGAGAAAAUGAAAUCACAGAAUUUCAAAAUUUUGGGGACGAAGAUAUACAACCUUCCACCAAAUCCAGUUUUCUGGCAAUGGAAAUCAGAGAAACACUGUUCCUGAAAGCUUCUGUCACUCAAGAAUCCAUGAAACAUUCAUGAACUUCACAUCAGAAGCCAAGCCCAGAAAAUAUGGGUUUAAGGUUUGCCUAUAUGUCCAAUACAAGAGAAAAAAGAACAUUCCACUUCUUUAGAAGGUUCUACUUUGAUCUCCUGAUUCCAGUUGUGAAAAAAAAUUGUGCCUAAAGAAUAUAGUCCCUUUAUAGAAUUGUUUUGAAACCUACCACAGGUAUUUCUACACAGGAAGAUUUCUGUAUUUGUCUUCUUAACUCUUGAGUUUUGUUGUUGCUAAUAUUGGAUGAAGAGGAGACAAAAUGAUUGGAUCUAGAGGAGCACCGACAAGCAAAUGGCAGAUUCCUAGGCCCUCACCAGAGGCUGAGCAGAUGUUGGUGCCAUGCUUGUACAAGUCUACGGAACCAUGAGCUAAAAUAAACCUUUUUUCUU
rnacentral:lncRNA from 10 species